rnacentral:rRNA from 1 species
GGGGCAGCUACACAUGCAGUCGAGCGGAACGAGUUAUCUGAACCUUCGGGGGACGAUAACGGCGUCGAGCGGCGGACGGGUGAGUAAUGCCUAGGAAAUUGCCCUGAUGUGGGGGAUAACCAUUGGAAACGAUGGCUAAUACCGCAUGAUGCCUACGGGCCAAAGAGGGGGACCUUCGGGCCUCUCGCGUCAGGAUAUGCCUAGGUGGGAUUAGCUAGUUGGUGAGGUAAUGGCUCACCAAGGCGACGAUCCCUAGCUGGUCUGAGAGGAUGAUCAGCCACACUGGAACUGAGACACGGUCCAGACUCCUACGGGAGGCAGCAGUGGGGAAUAUUGCACAAUGGGCGCAAGCCUGAUGCAGCCAUGCCGCGUGUGUGAAGAAGGCCUUCGGGUUGUAAAGCACUUUCAGUCGUGAGGAAGGUAGUGUAGUUAAUAGCUGCAUUAUUUGACGUUAGCGACAGAAGAAGCACCGGCUAACUCCGUGCCAGCAGCCGCGGUAAUACGGAGGGUGCGAGCGUUAAUCGGAAUUACUGGGCGUAAAGCGCAUGCAGGUGGUUUGUUAAGUCAGAUGUGAAAGCCCGGGGCUCAACCUCGGAAUUGCAUUUGAAACUGGCAGACUAGAGUACUGUAGAGGGGGGUAGAAUUUCAGGUGUAGCGGUGAAAUGCGUAGAGAUCUGAAGGAAUACCGGUGGCGAAGGCGGCCCCCUGGACAGAUACUGACACUCAGAUGCGAAAGCGUGGGGAGCAAACAGGAUUAGAUA